GGAUUUUGCCGUUUGCUUUGACUGGCGGACUUGAGUGACCUCUAGUGGCCGACUGAGCAUUGACAUCCAAUGUGAUUCCGCAUGUUCCACGGUUUUUUUUUUGCUAAGGUGAACAUGCAAGACUCGCAAAAGCUUUUGGCUCAAGGGAAACAUGAUUCUAGUCUGGCCUGGCCCAUGUCCCGUUUUCAGUCUGGCUCAACCCCGCUGUUAGAAGACACUUUCUAUCACAGAAUAAAAAAAUGUAUCUUCGCUCUCUGCAAAUAGCACACGGUGGCAUGGAGAUUGCUUCUGUAGGUUGGUUCACAGAAAUGAACAAGAACUAAGGCCAUGUGUAACGUUAAAACUAGGCCAGUAGAACACCGAUGUCUAUAUGAAGAGAGGAAGUGCAAACUUAUUCCAGGAUCUGAUAUACAUUUGGAGUAGGGACACUAAGGAGGUUUUAUGUCUGA